GACGAACGCUGGCGGCGUGCUUAACACAUGCAAGUCGAACGGAAAGGCCUGCUUUCCCUUGUGGAUUGCGGGUACUCGAGUGGCGAACGGGUGAGUAACACGUGAGUGAUCUGCCCCCAACUUGGGUAUAAGCCUGGGAAACUGGGUCUAAUUCCCGAUAGGACUGCAGGGUGGUGCCUGUGGUGGAAAACGAUUUUCUAGUGGUUGGGGAUGAGCUCGCGGCCUAUCAGCUUGUUGGUGGGGUAAUGGCCUACCAAGGCGGCGACGGGUAGCCGGCCUGAGAGGGUGGACGGCCACAUUGGGACGGAGAUACGGCCCAGACUCCUACGGGAGGCAGCAGUGGGGAAUAUUGCACAAUGGGCGGAAGCCUGAUGCAGCGACGCGGCGUGGGGGAUGACGGCCUUCGGGUUGUAAACUCCUUUCGACCGCGAGGAAGCCACCUGGUUGGAAGGGUGGUGACGGUAGUGGUAGAAGAAGCACCGGCUAACUACGUG
rnacentral:rRNA from 1 species